CGACAAUAUGGGUUAAACAUUACUGUAGAUUUCAAAUAUCCAACACAAAGGAAAAUUCUUCACAAUGUUUAUGAUCCUUUCACCAUAGAACAUAAGAAGCUGAUCCAGAUAGCAACAUAACUGAUGGUGAAGCGUCUUUUAACCAAGACCAUGGGGAAGGCAGUAUUCCAGACAACACCAUAGAUGAUGGAGAAAUUGUCACAUCAAUUUCUAGGAGUGUAUCAUCUGAUGGUCAUGGAGGUGAUAAAGGUAAAAAAACAAAGACAGCAACUUUACUUCAUUGAUAAAGAACAAGAUUUAACAGAUUGUUGAAAAAAAUUCAAACUCUUAAGCAAACUACCAAUGAUUGCAAGAAAUGUUCUUUGCCAUCUGGAAUUAUAAAACAUGCAUCCAAGUAUCUAACUGGUCAUGCCCUGGAUUUUUUCACCCCUCAACUUAAAUUGGCAAAUAUACCAAAAAGGGGCAGACAGUAUUCUACACAGAGAGCUUUUGCACUUGCUUCAUAUUUUAAAAGUGCUAGAGCAUACAAUUUGCUGGCACAACUUUCUGUCCUCCCAACACCUCAGAUGCUGUGAUUGUGGCUGAAGAGGAUUUCUUUCUCAGCAGGGUGGAAUGAAUCCUUUUUCAGGAUACUUGGGAAAAAGGAAGCUUUCAUGAAAAAGCAAGAGCAAAUUUGUGGCAUAGUCUUUGAUGCCAUUUCUAUCAAAUCUGGCAUUUUCUAUGAUAUGUCAAAUGACAAAAUGCAAGGGUAUGAAGUAAGGCAGCUCAAAAAAGAAAGCUUAGUAUGCCAUGCUUUUUAUAUAAGGCUAGGGGACUAGCAUCUAACUGGAAGCAAACUUUGGGCUUCUUUUACUUCCACAAAAGUAUUAAAUCAGAUGAUUUCAGACUGCCUCACUAAGUUGAAAAAAUCUUGGUUUAUUCCAAAAUUUGUUAUCACUGAUCAAGACACUACAAACAGGAGUGUGUUCAAGAAAUUUGUUUUUUCCAGUUAUUCACCAUCACGUCUCUAUAAUGAAGAAGAUAUAUAUUUUUUCUUUGACACUCCACGCUCUGAAAUUAUUUGCAUCCCCUGUGUGAUAGGCAUUUUCUGUAUUUUCUGAAUAACACGU